CAAUGUAUCAUUUUUACAGUACGAAAGCAAGCCUCCACUUCCAGAACACAAGCAACACUGUCAAGAGCUGUGGAUGCUGGCGAUACAGGAACUUCAACAUCGCAUCACAGUCCACAAAGACGUCCUUCACAGGGGUCUGGCAGCCACACGAGCAGGCCUAGCAAGAGACGUCAUCCUGACGACGCACCAGCAUUAAGCACACACCCACGUCGUAUUUCUACUGUGUUGCCUCAGCCACCAGAACACAUUUUGGAGAGUACUCAAUCACAGGGUCCACAUUCCCCUCAGCUGUCUGAACCAGACAUCAUGCCCCCGGAAGCCCAGCAGGAAUCUGAACAGGAAACAUACACCAUCCAACUGCAAGCAAUAGAUGUUCACCAACCAAGCACGCCUCAGGAAAGUACCCCGCCACCUCAAAUGUCACCACACCCACAAUUGAGCCAAACAACCCCACCAACAUGAGCCAUCCUUUUGGUCAACAUGGAACCAACAACAGGCACAGAAUAUUGUUUGCCUACGCACACACACCCAAUACCUAGCCUGUCUGCCCCAUCAUCUACCGAGACUGUGUAGAAACACAAGCAGGCUCAAUGUCCAGCUAUGCAGAGUCGCAAACAGUAUGGAGCAGAUGAGAGCAGAUAAUAGCCAACUUUUGUUACCUUUCAGCGCAUAAUGGAUGAGCAACACCGACAUCAACAGGCCCUCAUUCAGUUAAUUCAAAGUAAUCAAAUUAUAUCAGAAACCAUGUAUCGCAUCAUAGACAACAACACAACAGCCACAACACAACUUACCGCAACCCUGGCAAACCUCAGCCAAAAUAUUAAUUUGUUGGCACAACACCAACAAGGUUCCAGCUCAGGAACCAACACACCUACACAGACCCCAAUUUCCUCACCAGUUCGAAGAUCCAGCCGAACCCGCUCCACUGCCCAAACCAAACCCACGUCAGCCACCAAAGAACAGCCUAAGAAAUAGUCCACCCUGCAGCUGGAUACACAUUGUUGACAAAACUAGGUCUACACAAUAGCAGUUAUUUGUAAUGAAAACACAUGUUGUACAGUAAUAAAUG